UUAAAUGAAUUGACGGGGCCCGCACAAGCGGUGGAGCAUGUGGUUUAAUUCGAAGCAACGCGAAGAACCUUACCAGGUCUUGACAUCCCGAUGCUAUUUCUAGAGAUAGAAAGUUACUUCGGUACAUCGGUGACAGGUGGUGCAUGGUUGUCGUCAGCUCGUGUCGUGAGAUGUUGGGUUAAGUCCCGCAACGAGCGCAACCCUUGCCAUUAGUUGCUACGAAAGGGCACUCUAGCGAGACUGCCGGUAAUAAACCGGAGGAAGGUGGGGAUGACGUCAAAUCAUCAUGCCCCUUAUGACCUGGGCUACACACGUGCUACAAUGGUUGGUACAACGAGUUGCGAGUCGGUGACGGCGAGCUAAUCUCUUAAAGCCAAUCUUAGUUCGGAUUGUAGGCUGCAACUCGCCUACAUGAAGUCGGAAUCGCUAGUAAUCGCGGAUCAGCACGCCGCGGUGAAUACGUUCCCGGGCCUU
rnacentral:rRNA from 1 species